UUAAAACAAAAAGAUAAAUUAAAGAAAACUAAAAUAGCAGCACGCUGCACGCGUAAGAUUGACGAACAAUCUCUCUCUCCUCUCUCUGCGCACCAGCCAGUCGCACCACCCCCUCUCCAUCUGAAGCUGCGCCACCGCACCAUACACCAUACACCGUGCACCAUACACCGUACUCUUUGAGGUACUCUGUGCGAGUGGGCCAACAUCAACAAGUGAAAGGCCUGAGAGUCCACGGCAGAGUUACCACCGCCCACCGGCCAAUCAAAUAUAUCUCUGUUUGCCGACCUCUCUCCACAGACAACUCCCAAUUCAGAGGGAGGUUUCCACAUCGGCACAGGAAGUGAAAGACUCGUUCUUCCAUCUUGGUUUUUUUGGGUUCUUGGGGUUCUCUGGUGGGGGAGAGUGAGAUGUUCUGAAAAGUAAAAACCAAAUGAGAUUGAGAUUCACACUCUGUCUCACUCCAAUCGCCUACCAAUCUUUCACCUGGACGAUGACAAAUUCCUCCCAUCUAAAAUUUCACAAUUCCCAAACUUUAUCUCAUCCCCUUUCAAUUUACACUUGCCCUUUUGAUUUCAAAAUCGAUUUUGAUUUAGAUGGACGCCCUCCCCAAUUUACGAAGCUCUACUACUUGUUCCAAAGAUAAGGUCAAGGAUCUCCAGGUGAAAAUAAUUCAGUGGGAGGAUUUUGAACAAGAACUUGCUCGGUUAUCCAGUCUUUCCUCGGCCCUCCAUCAGUCCCAACAAAAGAGACUUGCUCUCCAAACUCACCUCCAAACCCUAAUUCAGGUACAAUCUGAGUCCUUGAGUCGCAAGAAUCAACUUGAUGAGAUUUCUGAAAGAGUGCAACUUAGGAAGCUUGUUAUGGGAAACAUGUUGAUGCAAGCCAAGGUGGUUGAAGAACAUGCUCAAACCAAAGAGGACCACCUAGCCACUGAAAUUAAGUCUCUGCUUGUUUCAGGGACAUCACUUUCUGUUGCGCGCAAAAGACUCCAGGAAUCUGGUAGAUUACUUGCUGGAGAAAAGGGUCUCGCUCGAUUAAGUGCUCUACAGAAGAUUCUUAGAGUGAGACAGCAACAUAUGAUUUCACAAGUUGCAUAUCUUUAUCCAGUAAAGACCUUGAUUGGUGCAACUCAAGAGCUUGAACUUGAUUCAUUUCCGAGUGGGAGUAGGUCAGGGACUCCUGGGGGAAAUAUAGAUGAGAACAAAUCAAGAAACCAAGGAACCUUGACUAUAUCUGGGGUGCAGUUAAAUAUGCUUCCUUUUACGCAGAUGACUUUUUUCACUGAUAAGAAGCAGAUCCAGGGAUCGACGACUGCUCUAGGAUACGUCGCCCAUGUCAUCUCACUCAUAGCUUCAUACCUACACGUGCCUUUACGUUAUCCUUUGCGUUUGGGUGGUUCUCAUUCAUAUAUCAAAGACUGUGCAGUGUUUAAUAAUCCAACAUCAUCAGGAUCUAACUCAACUUCCUUGGCUGCUGCAAAUAAGAAGUGUCUGGAAUUUCCACUUUUUUUAGAUGGGCAAGAUGCAACCAGAGCAGCUUAUGCAAUAUUUCUUUUAAACAAGGACAUAGAACAACUGUUGAAUUAUGUUGGGAUUGAAAGCUUAGGGCCUCGACAUGUAUUGGCUAAUCUGAAGGAGCUCUUUAAAACCAUACUCUCGCCAGAGUUUAUAGAAAGUGACUGACACCAAACCUUCUUGUGCAAGAAUGGGCCCAGGUCCCCUAUACUCCCCCUUCCCGCCCCCAAAAAGAAAAUGCCAUUGGGCUGAAUAUGAAGUAUGCUUAAGAUGAUAUGGAGCUGAAUAUGAUUUGCAUGGCCUCGAAAGUUGAGAUUCAACUGUACUGCAGGGGGGAUUACAUCUACUACUACGGGAAACUCGCCAACAACAAACCCCUACGGAACAGGAUCACCGCUCACCCCCACCAUUAACACUACAUCAUCAUCAUCAUCAUCAACCAUUGGUGUUGGUGCUGGAGAUGGAACAGGAUUCAACCCCACUAAUAUGGGUCCUCCAAUUCCUACAAGACAACCAAUGACUCAGAAUCUGCUCUUAAGUCUUCAUCAUUUCUUUUGGAGAUAUUGAUGUUUCUACUGCUUUCACUCGCCCUCAACUAAGGAGGAUAGCAGGGAAUUAAAUGAGAGAGGAUUAUAACUUUUGGUAAUGGUUAGACAGAUAGAAAACUCAACACAAUUUUGUUCGAAUUUUGGAGGUGUUGUAUUGGUUUCGAAUGGACUCAACUAAAUACUGUAAUUCCUUAAUCUUAGAGAAGAUGUAGCAGCUAAAGCUACUGCAUUGAUGUCAGUUCUCUUCAGAUUAUGAUUAAAUAUUAAUAGGUUAGGUUCUUAAUUUGUAGUAAGCAUAUGCUGAGAUUGUUAUGUUAUUAUGUAUGGCUGUCUGACUAA